rnacentral:misc_RNA from 1 species
UACGGAGGGGGCUAGCGUUGUCCGGAAUUAUUGGGCGUAAAGCGCGCGCAGGCGGUCUUUUAAGUCUGAUGUGAAAGCCCACGGCUCAACCGUGGAGGGUCAUUGGAAACUGGGAGACUUGAGUGCAGAAGGGGAGAGUGGAAUUCCACGUGUAGCGGUGAAAUGCGUAGAUAUGUGGAGGAACACCAGUGGCGAAGGCGACUCUCUGGUCUGUAACUGACGCUGAGGUGCGAAGGCGUGGGGAUCAAACAGG